rnacentral:rRNA from 1 species
AUUGAACGCUGGCGGAAUGCUUUACACAUGCAAGUCGAACGGCAGCACGGGGCAACCUGGUGGCGAGUGGCGAACGGGUGAGUAAUACAUCGGAACGUGCCCAAUCGUGGGGGAUAACGUAGCGAAAGUUACGCUAAUACCGCAUACGAUCUACGGAUGAAAGCGGGGGAUCGCAAGACCUCGCGCGAAUGGAGCGGCCGAUGUCAGAUUAGGUAGUUGGUGGGGUAAAGGCUCACCAAGCCGACGAUCUGUAGCUGGUCUGAGAGGACGACCAGCCACACUGGGACUGAGACACGG